rnacentral:rRNA from 1 species
GCUUAACGCGAAGAACCUUACCCAGUUUUGACAUGGCCGGGAAAGCCUCUGGAAACAGGGGCCCCGUCCUUCGGUAGCUCGGUCGACAGGUGCUGCAUGGCGUGUCGUCAGCUCGUGUCGUGAGAUGUUGGGUUAAGUCCCGCAACGAGCGCAACCCUUACCCUUAGUUACCAGCGGGUCAAGCCGGGACUCUAGGGGACUGCCGGUGCCAAACCGGAGGAAGGUGGGGAUGACGUCAAGUCAUCAUGGUCCUUACGACUGGGGCUACACACGUGCUACAAUGGCCGGUACAGAGGGCUGCUACGUAGUAAUACGAUGCCAAUCCCUAAAGCCGGCUCAGUUCGGAUUGUCGUCUGCAACUCGACGGCAUGAAGCUGGAAUCGCUAGUAAUCGCGGAUCAGCGACGCCGCGGUGAAUACGUUCCCUGGUCUUGUACACACCG